rnacentral:rRNA from 1 species
AUGAAGGAUCUAGGAGUAGCUGAUGUUAUCUUAAACAUCAAGCUGUUGAGAGAUGAGAAUGGUGGGAUCACACUGCUUCAGUCUCAUUAUGUGGAAAAGAUCUUGAGUCGUUUUGGGUAUAGCGACUGCACGCCUUCUCCAACUCCAUAUGAUGCUAGUCUAAGUCGGUUUGUGUCAAAACCGGGAGAUGAUCAUUGGCAUGCGCUUGAGAGAGUUAUGCGCUAUUUGAAAGGCACCGCAAGCUAUGGGAUUCACUACACCGGGUAUUCAAGGGUACUGGAGGGUUAUAGUGACUCAAACUGGAUAUCUGAUGCUGAUGAGAUUAAGGCCACAAGUGGUUAUGUUUUUACACUUGGUGGUGGCGCUGUUUCCUGGAAGUGUUGCAAGCAGACCAUCUUAACGAGGUCAAUUAUGGAAGCAGAACUCACAGCAUUAGACACUGCCACUGUUGAAGCAGAGUGGCUUCAUGAACUCUUGAUGGACUUACCUGUGGUUGAAAAACCAAUACCCCCUAUCCUGAUGAACUGUGAUAAUCAAACUGUGAUCGUCAAGAUAAACAGUUCUAAGGACAAUAUGAAGUCCUCAAGGCAUGUGAAGAGGAGACUAAAAUCUGUCAGAAAAUUGAGGAACUCCGGAGUUAUUACGUUGGAUUAUAUCAAAACAUCGAAAAACUUGGCAGAUCCCUUCACAAAGGGUCUAUCACGUAAUGUGAUAGAUAAUGCAUCGAUAGAGAUGGGUUUGAGACCCACC